ACAGAAGUGGUGUAUGUUGCACUUUAAGUUUUGAUCUUUGAAGAUAUGGUUAAAUUCCAUACUUUUGUA
rnacentral:tRNA from 1 species